rnacentral:rRNA from 1 species
UAAGGGAUAUUGCGACAAUGGACGAAAGUCUGACGCAGCAACGCCGCGUGCGGGAUGACGGCCUUCGGGUUGUAAACCGCUUUUCGGGGGGAAGAGGAAGGACGGUACCCCCGGAAUAAGUCUCGGCUAACUACGUG